rnacentral:tRNA from 1 species
AAUGAUGUGCCUGAAAAAGGAUUAUUUUGAUAGAAUAAAUUAUACAAACUUUGUCUUCAUUA